UAACCUGCCCAAGAGAUCGGGAUAACACCUGGAAACAGAUGCUAAUACCGGAUAAUAACAGAUGAUGCCUAUCAACUGUUUAAAAGAUGGUUCUGCUAUCACUCUUGGAUGGACCUGCGGUGCAUUAGCUAGUUGGUAGGGUAACGGCCUACCAAGGCGAUGAUGCAUAGCCGAGUUGAGAGACUGAUCGGCCACAUUGGGACUGAGACACGGCCCAAACUCCUACGGGAGGCAGCAGAC
rnacentral:rRNA from 1 species